GACGAACGCUGGCGGCGUGCUUAACACAUGCCAGUCGAACGGAAAGGCCCCUUUGGGGGUACUCGAGUGGCGCACGGGUGCGUAACACGUGAGUAACCUGCCCUUGACUUCGGGAUAACUUCAGGAAACUGGGGCUAAUACCGGAUAGGAAUCCUUGCUGCAUGGUGGGGGUUGGAAAGCUUCGGCGGUUUUGGAUGGACUCGCGGCUUAUCAGCUUGUUGGUGGGGUAGUGGCUUACCAAGGCUUUGACGGGUAGCCGGCCUGAGAGGGCGACCGGCCACAUUGGGACUGAGAUACGGCCCAGACGCCUACGGGAGGCAGCAGUGGGGAAUAUUGCACAAUGGGCGGAAGCCUGAUGCAGCAACGCCGCGUGCGGGAUGACGGCCUUCGGGUUGUAAACCGCUUUCAGCAGGGGCGAAGCUUGUGGUGACGGUACCUGCAGAAGAAGCACCGGCUAACUACGUG
rnacentral:rRNA from 1 species